rnacentral:rRNA from 1 species
UACAGAGGUCCCAAGCGUUGUUCGGAUUCACUGGGCGUAAAGGGUGCGUAGGUGGUGAGGUAAGUCGGAUGUGAAAUCUCCGGGCUCAACCCGGAAAUGGCAUUGGAAACUACCUUGCUGGAGGAUUUGAGGGGGGAUUGGAAUACUUGGUGUAGCAGUGAAAUGCGUAGAUAUCAAGAGGAACACCAGUGGCGAAGGCGAGUCCCUGGACGAUACCUGACACUGAGGCACGAAAGCCAAGGGAGCAAACAGG